rnacentral:lncRNA from 1 species
CUGCUCUUCCUCCGACAGCCACGCAGCGAGCUCACGAGGCAGCCUCCACACAUAAUGAAAGCAAACGCCACCAUAAAUCUCCCGCUCGGCGGAGGUCACUUCAGAAAAAUCGCCCGCUGCUCAGAUAAGCACCAGCUUUGCUGAGGAACAUGGAAGGGGGAAAACACCGACUGUGAUAAACACCAGCAGGUAGGCUCCAAAUGGAGGCCAACCCAGGCAACUCGGAGAGAAGGGAGCCGGGAUGAAGCAGGUGUGUGUGCGUGUGUGUGUUUACACACAACAGCCCUGGCCCAGUGUGUUCUGGCUGCGAGAACAAGCAACCGCACCACGAGAGGAGCUGCUCUCCCCCCCGGGAGGAGAGCUCCGGAGGCACCAAUUUUCAUUAAACCUAGGAGUACACACAGGGGCAGGAGGCCAAAACAGUCCUCGAAACUGAGGCUUUUAAAAACAUCUGUUGGCAGCGUUGAGAUCCUAGAAGAGAGAGAGAGACGGAGAGAGAGAGAGAGAGAGAGAGAGAGAGAGAGAGAGAGAGAGAGCUCAGAGUCCAGCACUUUCAUUUCCAGACUGUGAGUCAUAAAAGGAGUACGUAAAUCCCUAUCGCCAGAAUACGCUGACCCAAGUCUGGGUUUAUGAACACCUGAAGUACAUUUCAUGAGAAUUAGCUUUAAAUAUCAACCUGAUCACAAAGCUUGAAAGGUUUUCUCCCAUCUCAGGAUGACUGGAGUCCGCUGGAACCUGGAAUGGAGUUUUCUGACAGCAAAGGAUUACAGGAGCGUAACAGAAAUUAUGGAGAUUUCCCCGCUAGGCAUAAGGAUGCGAUCACUGUAGGCACCUGUGGGCCCAAGCAGGUUACCCACCAAUAUCCCUUUAAACACCAAAUUAUGGACUAUUAGGCCACUGCUUCAAGGCUUCUACAAAUGUGAAACCUUGACAAAUUCCCAAAUAAAAGCCAUAAAACCAAUCAUUUUUUAAACCUGUAUGAGUGACACCAGGAAAAUUACAGCAGUGUGGCAGGUCACUGUGAAAUAAAGCUGCCAGAAAGAAGCUUACGAUGCUGUCAUGGAAAAGGCAAUUAGAAGGUUACUUUCUCUCAGGUCUAAGAUUGGUUCUUGUUCUUCCUACAGCUCCCUGCCUUCCACCUCCCUGCUGCAAAAUGGAUCAAUCUAUAAUAAGUAGUAGUUAUAUAUCAUAAGGCAGCAAUUCCUUUUAGUUGUUCCACUAUAAAAAAGCAUCCAGAUUUAGAACUUGACAGGAACCAGUAUCGCCUGCCCCCCAGAGCCGGCAGAAAGUCUGUGUAUGUCAUUCAGCCAGCAUGGAGUCUGGGUGUUUUAAAAGCUUUAAUUUGAAGGGGAUAAAAAACCUGGGCGUUAAGCAAUUUGGCUGUGGAUAUUUAAUGCAUCAGCCACGCUAUAGAAUUGGAGUCCUCUAUUUAAAAUGAGAAAUUGAAAACUUACACGCUCUGUAGGCAAGGUGUAAGUAAAUGUAGGAUGGUAAGCAGAAAUCAGCUGAGAACCUGCAGAAACGCCAUUAGAAGGACUAAUGGCAUGGUUCAGAAGUGGCCUUAAACAAAUGCUAGGGUGUCGUUUGUAAGUGUGUAAAACAGGUCUGGCUUUUAAUUAGCAGGAGCCAUAUCUCCCUGUGUUUAGGAAAAGGCAUUACUUCUCAAAGAGAAUAUCCUAACGGGGUCUACAUAGGGACCAGGAGGAAACAAUGGCCCGGGAGUUGAGAUUUGCCUCAAGGCACGUUCCUCCUCAAUGGCAGCGUGGAGAUUGGAACUCAGUCUCCUUAUCUCUAAUUUCCACUCUAACACACUUAUUGUAGGUAGAAAAAAUGCAUCCCAAAGAUGUCUACUUCUUACUCCCCAGAACCUGUACAUACAGCACCUUACAUGGCAAAAGUGACUUUGCAGAUACGAUUGAGUUAAGGGUUUUGAGAUAGGGAGAUUACCAGGUGGCCCAACGGAAUCACAAGGGGCCUGAUAAGUAUGAGAGGGAGCAGAAGAGUGAGGGUCAGAGUCAGAGAGAGACUGGAAGAUGCUAUACCACUGGCUUUGAAGAUGAAGGAGGGGGACACAAGCCAAGGAAUGCAGGCAGCCUCUAAAUGCAGGAAAAGGUAAGGAAAUCGGUCUUACAGCCUCCAUAAAAAUGCCAUCCUGCCAAUGCCUUGAUUUCAGCCUCAUGAGACCCUUUCAGACUUCUGAUCUCUAGAACU